AGUGAACGCUGGCGGUAGGCCUAACACAUGCAAGUCGAACGGCAGCACAGUAAGAGCUUGCUCUUACGGGUGGCGAGUGGCGGACGGGUGAGGAAUCCAUCGGAAUCUACUUUUUCGUGGGGGAUAACGUAGGGAAACUUACGCUAAUACCGCAUACGACCUACGGGUGAAAGCAGGGGAUCUUCGGACCUUGCGCGAUUGAAUGAGCCGAUGUCGGAUUAGCUAGUUGGCGGGGUAAAGGCCCACCAAGGCGACGAUCCGUAGCUGGUCUGAGAGGAUGAUCAGCCACACUGGAACUGAGACACGGUCCAGACUCCUACGGGAGGCAGCAGUGGGGAAUAUUGGACAAUGGGCGCAAGCCUGAUCCAGCCAUACCGCGUGGGUGAAGAAGGCCUUCGGGUUGUAAAGCCCUUUUGUUGGGAAAGAAAAGCAGCAGGUUAAUACCCCGCUGUUCUGACGGUACCCAAAGAAUAAGCACCGGCUAACGUCGUG
rnacentral:rRNA from 1 species